rnacentral:tRNA from 1 species
UAUAUUUUGUUGUAUGAUGCAUACAGAAUUUUGAUUUCUGAGGAUUCAGUUUAAUUCUGAAAAAUAUAA